UGAGGGGCUCAGCAAUUUUAGAAAAAUUUGGCACAAACCGGUGGUACCAACCGGCUAAUCCCAAGAACCUCUGAACUUCCUUCAAGGUGUUGGGAGCAGGAAAGGCACGAAUGGCUUCAACUUUACUUGGAUCAGCUGUGAUGCCCUUAUUGCUCACCACGUGUCCUAGAAAGCUCCCCCAGGACUGUCUCCAUCAGCCUCUGGAAGGUAGCAGGGGCAUUUUUUAACCCGAAAGGCAUGACAUUGAAAUGAUACAGACCUGCAGACACGAUAAAAGCAGUCUUGGCUUUACUAUCAGGGUCCAUCAUCACUUGCCAAUAUCCACAGUUAAGGUCUAGAGUGGAGAAAAUGGAUGCCCCGGAGAGUGAUUCUAGGAUCUCAGUGAUGUUCGGAAGAGGAACUACAGGUGAGGCCCAAGCAGAAUGUGAUGGCUCCACAAUCCCCUCUUUCAACAUUACUUCCAAUUGUUCCUCCAUUGCUUGUUGCUUGACAGGGGAUAACCGAUAUGGCCGUUGUUUGAUAGGAACCUGGCAGGUAGUAUAGAUGUAAUGUUGUAGGACAUCCGUUCGCCCAGUUUGGUGAGUACA